GGUGAACGCUAGCUACAGGCUUAACACAUGCAAGUCGAGGGGCAGCACGGAGAUAGCUUGCUAUCUUGGGUGGCGACCGGCGCACGGGUGAGUAACGCGUAUCCAACCUGCCCAUUACUCGGGGAUAGCCUUGCGAAAGUAAGAUUAAUACCUGAUGUUGUUUGAUUGCCGCAUGACGGUCAAACCAAAGAUUUAUUGGUAAUGGAUGGGGAUGCGUGACAUUAGGUAGUAGGUGAGGUAACGGCUCACCUAGCCGACGAUGUCUAGGGGUUCUGAGAGGAAGGUCCCCCACAAUGGAACUGAGACACGGUCCAGACUCCUACGGGAGGCAGCAGUGAGGAAUAUUGGUCAAUGGACGAGAGUCUGAACCAGCCAAGUAGCGUGCAGGACGACGGCCCUCUGGGUUGUAAACUGCUUUUAGUUGGGAAUAAAAAGAGGGACGUGUCCCUAAUUGUAUGUACCAUCAGAAAAAGGACCGGCUAAUUCCGUGCCAGCCGCCGCCGUAAUAC
rnacentral:rRNA from 1 species